rnacentral:rRNA from 1 species
UCAACGGCCGCGGUAUUCCUGACCGUGCUAAGGUAGCACAAUCAUGAGCCUCUUAAUUAGGGGAUAGAAUGAAUGAAUUAACAAGAAAUAUGCUGUCUCUUUUUUGCUUAUUGAAAUUUAGAUUUAGGUGCAAACUCCUAAAUAAAUCACACAGACAGAAAGACCCUAUAAGCUUUUAUUAUAAUAUAUUAUAAAUAGAAAAAUAUUUAAUUGGGGCGAUUUUAAGUAAAAAACACUUAUUAAAAUAAGAGAUAUACCUCUUUACCUCUAUCUAAUAGCACAUAAGUAAGUUACUAUAGGGAUAACAGGCUAAUACUUCUUGAGAGCACAUAUCAACAGAAGUGCUUAGCACCUCGAUGUUGGCUUAAGGAUCCCAAUUUAUGCAGAAGUAAAAAAGGGGGGUUUGUUCAACCUUUAAUUCCU